rnacentral:rRNA from 1 species
CAUAUAAAUAAGCGGAGGAAAAGAAACCAACUGGGAUUCCCUGAGUAACGGCGAGCGAAAAGGGAUGAGCCCAGCGCCGAAUCCCCCUCUUUUGGGAGGCGGGAAAUGUGGCGUUUAGGAGUGAGCGUGCCGGAUUCGGACCUUGCAGCAAGUCCCCCUGACCGGGGCUGUUACCCAGAGCGGGUGCGAGGCCCAUAGCCGCUCGGUCCUGUCCGGAUGCGAUCUCCUGGGAGUCGGGUUGCUUGGGAGUGCAGCCCUAAUCGGGUGGUAAACUCCACCUAAGGCUAAAUACCGCCGUGAGACCGAUAGCAAACAAGUAC